UCUUGCAUUGCUAAUCUCGUUCGCUCCAGGAGGAAUGGGUGUUUCGUGGCUGCGUUGCGGCCCUCCGCAUGCAUAGGAGGCCGACUGCAGUGAGUUCAUCGGCUGCGUCCACCAGUCUUGAUGUUGCAGAGGUCAGAGGGUUUCCAGGAGAAUCAGACUAUCCCUCGAGGCCCCAAGAAAGAGGGCAAGAGUGAGCGGUGCAGUGUUAGGUUUGGAAGUACCAAGGCACAACCUUAAUUAGUGGCUGAUAGGGUGCUCUAGGUACUGCACGGCAUGGUAUUACUGACCUGCAGCUUGAUGAUUCGAUCAGGUGAGGUUUGCCGUAAUAUUCAUUGUCUAUGCUAUUGAACAUGAGCUUUGGGUACUUGACAUCGUAAAACAUGGUGAAGGAUCAAAUGAUUUGCUUCAUUUGAUCGUACAGUGUGGGCAGUUCUAGGUGAGUUGGUUGUACUGGACAUUAAUUUAGGCCAUGCUCAAAAGUUCCCGAGUUCACAUAUAUAGUAACAAAUUUGCCUUGUUUCUUCUAAAAGAGUCGAUUUUGCAUGUAUUUAACAGAAACGUUAUCAAGUCUGCUGCAUUCAAAAUCUUGAUAAUAUUUCUAAUGUAUUGAUAUGGUGUAAAUAUUUUAAAGAAUUUGUAUGUAGAAAACCAAUUACAGUUAGAUAGAAAAUUUAGCUUGCUAUAAGGAAUUCCGAGGCAGGUUUGGUCCCAAUGUCUUGGGACAAAUGCAUGGGUUUUCACUCUGCUAAUAUGGAGACCUUUGUGCCAGCUGGUUUGGUGCAUUCAGCUUAGUCAGGAACAUUCUUCAGGAUAGAGCUACUGGAAGCAAGUAACAUGUGCAUAUUAUUCGUCCAUAACAAGAACUUAAAUCCAUAAUCUGAUAAAAGUGAAGGUCAGAUAGAGGAAUAUCACUGGUCCUGUCAAGAAAGAAUGCUCCUAUUGUUUUAUUUUUGUCAAUAAACAAUUACGUGUAUGGGGGUUGCCCCAUGGAUGAAGCAAGGUGAUGCCGAUGGCCGUCCGGCCUGGUCCUCAUAUCGAUCGGUUUGUUGCUGGUCUUUGAUGCUUGAUCUUCUGUUAUCUUCGGCCGGCAUGGUGCUUAGUAAACAAGCAUGAUCUACUUAUGAGAAGUGGGUAUACUUUUUCUUCAGUUCUCUUCGUAAGAGUUCUUUGAUCCUUGUGAAGACUUGACAUGAAUUAUAGUGGAUGCAGGGCAUGAAUGGUAGGACGUGCUUCCGUCGCCGCCCCUGGUCCUCCACUCCUCCUCUCCCCUGCCUCCCCUUCUGCUAGCAGCAGCGGCCGGGGCCGCGCGAAGCAGUAACGAAGGACGACGGUGGCAGCGAGUGGACGGAUGGAGGUCACGGGCAUGUCUCCUCUCUAUGUCCUCCUGAACAUCAUAGCUCUAUACGUGUCACGGUCAAUCGGCAAUAUAAGCAACGAACGUAUCCAACCUCUUGUGAUCCCUUCGUCCCUAAGCUUUGGACCAGUGAAUUUUUCGUCUCUUCGUAAAACACACAAUUUCCAUAUGUUAUAAACUGCCCUUGCAAGUGCAAGUGAUACUGCAAAUGUCAUCUUGUUUGAUUUAUUUUGCCAUUUAUUUGAUUCGUGUCCUUCGAUUUGUAUAGUUCUUUAAUGAUUGAUAUUACUUGAUAAGAAAUGGGGAAAUACUUUGAAGUCCAAUAUAGGGGAAUAUGGCAGUUUUGGAGGUGCGGACAUUGCUUAUCUGAAUCUAUGGUUCAAUGGAUAUGACUAAUUAUCUGAAUCUAGAUGAUUUUCAUGUUUUUUCUUGCUUGCAUGAUAUGAGCAUGACUGAUGUGAAGUUCGAUAUAGGUUGGCCGUAGAGCCGGAAGUACAAUAUUUCCACUGCUGGCAUAUAUCUCCAGAUAUAUUUGUUCAUGUGUGUAAUUUUCUUCACAAGCUGUUGACUUGGUUAAGAAACACACGAAUUUCAGACAUAACUGGGUUAAUGCAUUUGCGCGGGAUAUUACAUCAGAACAAUCGAUAGUGGUUGUGGAGCCGUCCUUUGCGACUGGUAACAUGUUAUACUUUGCUUACGUAUUUUCAUGCCUAUUUUACAAUAUUUUACUAUAUGUUCACAUUUAUUAUGCUUUCAGCAGUUG